AGUGAACGCUGGCGGUAGGCCUAACACAUGCAAGUCGAACGGCAGCACAGUAAGAGCUUGCUCUUACGGGUGGCGAGUGGCGGACGGGUGAGGAAUACAUCGGAAUCUACUUUUUCGUGGGGGAUAACGUAGGGAAACUUACGCUAAUACCGCAUAUGACCUACGGGUGAAAGCAGGGGAUCUUCGGACCUUGCGCGUUUGAAUGAGCUGAUGUCGGAUUAGCUAGUUGGCGGGGUAAAGGCCCACCAAGGCGACGAUCCGUAGCUGGUCUGAGAGGAUGAUCAGCCACACUGGAACUGAGACACGGUCCAGACUCCUACGGGAGGCAGCAGUGGGGAAUAUUGGACAAUGGGCGCAAGCCUGAUCCAGCCAUACCGCGUGAGUGAAGAAGGCCUUCGGGUUGUAAAGCCCUUUUGUUGGGAAAGAAAAGCAGCAGGUUAAUACCCCGCUGUUCUGACGGUACCCAAAGAAUAAGCACCGGCUAACUUCGUG
rnacentral:rRNA from 1 species